rnacentral:rRNA from 1 species
UACGAGGGGGGCGAGCGUUGUUCGGAAUUAUUGGGCGUAAAGGGUGCGUAGGCGGUUCCGCAAGUCCUGUGUGAAAUCUUCGGGCUCAACUCGAAGUCUGCACGGGAAACUGCGGGGCUUGAGUGUGGGAGAGGUGAGUGGAAUUCCCGGUGUAGCGGUGAAAUGCGUAGAUAUCUGGAGGAACACCGGUGGCGAAGGCGGCAUCCUGGACCGGCAUUGACGCUGAGUGAGCGAAAGCCAGGGGAGCAAACGGG